AUAUAUAUUGACGCGUUAGGAUAUACUUCUGGGAAUUUGAAUAACGAUGGAAAGAGACAUAGGUUGGAGAGAUCCCGGUGAUUCGCAUACUUUUUUUUGCAUUUAAUCAUGGAACUUCGCUCAACGGCUGAUUGCUGCGAAAGCGGUAUGGG